rnacentral:lncRNA from 1 species
CGGACAGGAAAAGGUUCUCAGUGACUGGUGGAUUCUGGGAAGGGAUAGUCAUUGUCUUCAGUUGUGUACCCAAGGUGAGCCAGCUAGGCUCCAGAGGAGAGUUCUGCAGACACACAGAUAGCCCUGGUUAAAAUCAGUGGUUCACAAAACAGAACAAUAUACCAGGAGCUGGAGUAUGGUGAGCAGUUACAGAAAGAAACCACUCAAAGAAAGCUGCAUCACAAAACUCCAUCUCAGGGUGGGAGCCAGUUCUGGGAAGCUGCAGGACACUAGCUCACCAGGUUCCUUUCUUGAGUUCCUGUCUUGAUUUUUCUUCACGAUGAACUGUAAGCUUUGAGGUGAAACCAACCCUUUGCUCCCCAAGUUGCUUUUGGUCAUGGUGUUUUAUCCCUGCAACAGAAAGGGAAGUAUGACAAUGGUGCCAAAAUAUUGAAAUACUAUUCAUUAUACUGGAAGGUGUAGCUGAGCAAGGGAGACUCAAUCUGAAUCAUUGCAUGGGAUGGGCUCUUCAGCUGAACAAAAAGGGACAAAGGAGAGAGGAAGAUGGGCAUCAAAGCUCAUCUCUUUCUGCUUCAUGAUUGGCUGCGUCAUAUUCCCAAUCUUCAACUUAUUCACCAAGAUGGACUGAGCUUUGCAGCUGUGAGUUCAGAUGAAAGCUUUCUUCCUUAAGUUGUUUCUCAUCAGGUAUGCAACUAACCCUACCCAUUCAUCUCGACAGUCAAGGGUGAGAUUCCUUUGCCUGGAGCAGCAGAAACACCUCCGAGCUUCUAUUAAAAACAAAUCCAGACACCACAUGGCAAAGCAGUGCUGAAAAUCAAAAGAUAAUGAUUUUAUGGAGCAGUUCACUCAAAUAAUAGCUGUAUCUCUCUUAAUUUUCUAAGCAGUGAUUUUACUGUACUGCUAUGCUAUAAAAUUUGUGUGGGUGUUCCACCAUAGAAUACUUUAAGCAUUCUAAGUUACAGAGUAGAAGCUUUCUUUGCACCACUACUACUAAUAAUAACAAUAGUAAUAUCAGAUCAUUUUUCUGUGAUAAAUUUAGCUCUGAUCCUAUGUAGAGGUUCACUCUUGUUUCUUGAAUGGAUGGAAGGGAUCAAAUCAUUACUGGGAUGAACGGGCUUUCACUUGAGCAGCUACAAGUGCUCUUAUUAAAACUGACAUCAUUUAGCACUGCAGAGUUCUGUUGUAGCUAAUGGAGCCAACAUGCUUAUGCUAAUUGCUUCGCGUGUUAUAAGUACAUAAGGAAGCCUGCAACCAGAAUGAGUAAACAUGCAGUAGAAGAGUAGCACGUACUGUAAAUGACACAGUGUUUGGUAUGUUUUUCACAUUGUAGUAAUGAGUCCUGUGUGACUGUAAAAGAAAAACCAGACAGAGACAACUGAAGGGAGGGAAAGACCUUUUCAGCUUCUGGUUCCAGGGGGACUUCAGUCUGCCAGAGCAGGCAAGGCAUGAUUUGGCUAUUGCUUUUGUUCUUGGGAGAACUGAGACCUGUUUACAUGACCAGGAAGUAGACAGAAGUUGUAGUUAUAAAAGACCCACCUCCAGUGGCUUAAUUUCUGCAGCAAAUCCCCACUACCUAGAGGGUCCGCAGCCUUCAAAACAAUGCCAGGGGCUGAUCACUGUGUGUUCAGUGCACAAGGUUGUGGAAUACAUUGUACAUGUAAGUCAUAGCAGAUAACGGAGUGUAUCCCAAAGCUGAUAUGCCAAGGUUUGGUUGCCAGCUAAUGGGCAGUAUAGGGAAGUAAAUGAAUCAUGAAGAUGCUAGUGAAGGGACUCAUCCAUUGAUAGAUUGAAAAUAUGAAGUGUUAUUGGGCGGGGAGUAAGUAUAAGAUGGGGCCUCAUCAGGGGAAGUAGGUUGCUGGACCACACUCUGGGAAACUAGAAUUUACCCUAUUCUUUGUUGUUGUGUGCUUCUUUCUGAUUGCUACAAGACACCUAAGCUAAUGAUUUUAAUCCAUUUGGAUCUCAACCUCUGACACUGAGGUCUAAGUCAACCUUUCUUCCUUCUAAGGUUUCCCUCUCAGGUGUUUGUUAUAACAAUAAGAAAAGUAAGUAACAGAGCAUGUUCCCGAAUCUUAUGUAAAUUUGCUGUCUGAAGUUGCCUGCUGGAUUUAUAUCUUCCUCUUAAUCUUUUUAUGUCAUUUGGAAUUCAUCCGUACAUUUUUUUCCCUUUGUGAUGUGUUUGGUAAUAUCAGUUCAUGCUUCAUAGUACAUAGUGUUUGUAAAUGUCAUUUUGCUAGUUGCACAAGCAUUUAGUUUCUCAGAGACAGAUAGGGAGUAAUUAAGUUUUUAUUAAAUGUUCAGUUUCAUUCUUUUGAGCUAAGGGCUGUCAGUAGGGUUUCUUGUAAACGAAAGUGAUGAAGAACAACAGACUGUACAUUUGUACCACUUGACAGGACAAAACCACUGCAGCAAGGGUAUUCAGACCGCUGACUUUGUGUUCUACAGCAAGGCUUCUCACUCACAUGUCACAUACACCUAAUCUAUAAUUUACCAGCUCUCUGCUGGCUGUGAUUGGCAGCUGAUGGCUUCAUGUGUAUCACAGGUAUAGUUCAGGGGUCAAUUAACUGGUGGGUAAUAUGGAGUUGUCAAGGGUGUCAGCCUGCUUCCUGGAGUGCCAAUGUAUUGUGAGUGAACCCCGAAAGAGAGAAAGGGAGCAAUUCCAGGUGUUAUAUUGUUAGAUUGUUAAUAAAUGUGUUAAAACUCUUGUCCAUGAUGCUGCCUAUGCACCACUGGAACCAUGAGGGGAUCUGGAAAUGUCUAAGGGGAAUGUAACAACCCCCGUGAAACACCAUGUGCUAUAGGUGUUUAUUCGAUACUUGACAAAAUUAAAUUAUGAAUGUCUCAAUCUGGUCUUUGUUCCUUUCUCCCUGCCUCCAAAACUGAGCAGAGCAAGUGUGAAUCAUAUUCUUUGGGAUUUAAAAGUGACAUUACCAUGCAUCUUGCAGUAUCAAAAGAAAUGCUAAUGGGAUGUUAUUGUGAAUGCCUUAUGACAGAACUCUGAAAACGAGAUGACUGCCUUUCUAGAAAACCACAAUGCACAGAAAUGGACAAAAAAAAAAAAUAGGGAGA